AGCGAACGCUGGCGGCAGGCCUAACACAUGCAAGUCGAACGGACUCUUCGGAGUUAGUGGCGGACGGGUGAGUAACACGUGGGAACGUGCCUUUAGGUUCGGAAUAACUCAGGGAAACUUGUGCUUAUACCGAAUGUGCCCUUCGGGGGAAAGAUUUAUCGCCUUUAGAGCGGCCCGCGUCUGAUUAGCUAGUUGGUGGUGUAAUGGACCACCAAGGCGACGAUCAGUAGCUGGUCUGAGAGGAUGAUCAGCCACAUUGGGACUGAGACACGGCCCAAACUCCUACGGGAGGCAGCAGUGGGGAAUCUUGCGCAAUGGGCGAAAGCCUGACGCAGCCAUGCCGCGUGAAUGAUGAAGGUCUUAGGAUUGUAAAAUUCUUUCACCGGGGACGAUAAUGACGGUACCCGGAGAAGAAGCCCCGGCUAACUUCGUGCCAGCAGCCGCCGUAA
rnacentral:rRNA from 1 species